AAAAGAAUUCUAGUUUUAAAUGGAGGCUACAGAGGAAAUGAAGGUACCCUAGAAUCCAUCAAUGAGAAGACUUUUUCAGCUACUAUCGUCAUUGAAACUGGCCCUUUAAAAGGACGCAGAGUUGAAGGAAUUCAAUAUGAAGACAUUUCUAAACUUGCCUGAGUUUGAAAAUUUGUUAACAAUACAUUAAAAUCUUAAAGCAUCAAAUUGGUGUUCGCCAAGGCAUUAUGAGACUCUACUGUGUUAGGGUAUAUUCUUUUGUAUAAAACAAACAGGUUUUUGAAAAUAUUACUGUAUAGUUGUUCAGCUAAACUUUGAGAAGAAUUUAAUUAUGUCUCAUGAGGUAUCAAACUAUGUAAUUUUGUCCUUGUUAUUUUUGUUUCCUUUGUAAUUUACUUGAUGAGUUUAUAUCUUCAUUAAAGAAUGUUAUU
rnacentral:lncRNA from 1 species